rnacentral:misc_RNA from 1 species
AGACAAGGAAAGUGUACAGAUGCACAUAAUCUUCACAUCAAAUCAUCGAUGCAAUGCAUCACGAAAGUGGUGUAUGAAGGAUGUAGCGGGUCCCUGCCAAGGGACUUGCAAUGAUCGUCGUGCAUAGUCGUGUAAUAUGUG